GCCAAGUAAUUGGAGAAGAAGCUUUUGUUCGAAUAGCUCCAACUAUUGCAGGUGUGGCAGACAUAUCAACAGCACACCAUCUCUUUAAGGCACUGGUUGGAGAUGAAGAAGGCAUCUCUUAUAGUUUAUGGACAACAUAUCUUUCUGAACUUUUGAAGGUACAUCAGGCAAGACAAUCAUAUGAAAACAGAGACAAUGUGUUGCCCAAUGAGCAACUUUUGUGCAUUGGCUCAAGCAGGAGGCGGCCUGUUUUAAAAUGGGAGGAUAACAUUGCAUGGCCUGGAAAUCUGACUCUAACUGAUAGGGCAUUAUAUUUUGAGG